GCACCAGCGUAGUCUAGUGGUGAGGGUGUUUGACUCCUACCCAAAGGUUUUGGGUUUGAUUCCCCAUGUGUCGCA